rnacentral:tRNA from 1 species
ACGCGAUUAGCUCAACUGGUCCAGAGCAUCCCGAACUUGCUUCGGGAGGGUCGGGGGUUCGAACCCCUCAUCGCCCACCA